rnacentral:ncRNA from 1 species
CACUGCCCGUCACACUAUGGGAGCUGGCCAUACUCGAAGUCGUUACCUUAACCGCAAGGAGCGGAAUGUCGAAGCCAAGGCUAGUGACUGGAGUGAAGUGGUAACAAGGUAGUUGUACUAGAAGGUGCGGCUG